CAAUCAACAAAGAGUAUAUGGUGGAGAUCUAGGGACCUAGAGCCGAUGAAGGGCGUGAUAACCGACGAUAUGCUUCGGGGAGCAGGACGUAUGCUUUGAUCCGAAGAUUCCCGAAUAGGGCAACCUUAAACAUUCCUUCUUGAAUUCAUAGAGAAGAGAAAGACAACCCAGUGAACUGAAACAUCUUAGUAGCUGGAGGAAAAGAAAGCAAAAGCGAUUCCCAAAGUAGCGGCGAGCGGAAUGGGACCAGUCUAAAAGAAAAAUUUAUUUUUCUGGUUAUAGGACCAAACACUAAGGUAUAGAAAUUCUUGAGAAACGAAGCAGCUGAAUCCUGCGCCAUAGAUGGUGAAAGCCCAGUCGUUGAAUCUUGACUCAAUGCCGUUUGGCUCCCAAGUAGUAUGGGGCACGUGAAAUCCCGUAUGAAUUCGCCAGGACCACCUGGUAAGACUAAAUACUCCUAGGUCACCGAUAGCGAAAAGUACCGCGAGGGAAAGAUGAAAAGAACCCCUUUUCGGGGAGUGAAAUAGAACAUGAAACCGUAUACUUACAAUUGGUAGGAGGAUGAACACAUCUGACUGCAUGCCUGUUGAAGAAUGAUCUGGCGACUUACGGUAAGUGGCAUGGUUAAGAUUUUUCAUCGAAGCCAAAGCGAAAGCAUGUCUUAAUAGGGCACUCGUCCCUUAUCGUAGACCCGAACCCAGGUGAUCUAACCAUGACCAGAAUGAAGCUUUGGUGAUACGAAGUGGAGGUUCGAACCGACCGAUGUUAAAAAAUCGACGGAUGAGUUGUGGUUAGGGGUGAAAUGCCAAUCGAACUUGGAGCUAGCUGGUUCUCCUCGAAAUGCGUUGAGGCGCAGCGGUUAUUUAUGAACUCUCAGGGGGUAAAGCUCUGUUUCGGUGCGGGCUGCGAAAGCGGUACCAAUCUGUUGCAAACUCGGAAUACCUGAGAUGAUUUCAAAUAGCCAGUGAGACUAUGGGGGACAAGCUUCAUAGUCAAAAGGGAAACAGCCCAGACCAUCAGCUAAGGCUCCUAAAUAAAAGCUAAGUGGUAAAGGAGGUGAAAAUGCUGUGACAAUCAGGAGGUUUGCCUAGAAGCAGCCACCCUCUAAGGAGUGCGUAAUAGCUCACUGAUCAAGCGUUUUUGCGCCGAAAAUUUCCGGAACUAAGUUUUUUGCCGAAGCUAUGGAUAUAUUAUCUACAUAAUAUGUGGUAGAGGAGCGUUCCGCCCAGGGAGAAGCCAAGCGCGUAAGCCGCGGUGGACAGGGCGGAAGUGAGAAUGUCAGAUUGAGUAACGAAAACACUAGUGAGAAUCUAGUGCCCCGAAAACGUAAGGGUUCCUCUGCAAGGCUCGUCCUCAGAGGGUCAGUCAGGACCUAAGGUGAGGCCGAAAGGCGUAAUCGAUGGAAAGAAGGCUUAUAUUCCUUCACCGUUAUUUUAUUAGUCCUGAGGGACGAAC
rnacentral:rRNA from 1 species